rnacentral:rRNA from 1 species
GGGUUGUGAGGUUAAGCGACUAAGCGUACACGGUGGAUGCCCUGGCAGUCAGAGGCGAUGAAGGACGUGCUAAUCUGCGAAAAGCGUCGGUAAGGUGAUAUGAACCGUUAUAGCCGGCGAUGUCCGAAUGGGGAAACCCAGUGCAAUUCGUUGCACUAUCGUUAACUGAAUACAUAGGUUAACGAGGCGAACCGGG